rnacentral:rRNA from 1 species
AAACUCAAAGGAAUUGACGGGACCGCACAAGCGGUGGAUGAUGUGGUUAAUUCGAUGCAACGCGAAAACCUUACCCACCUUUGACAUGUACGGAACCCUUUAGAGAUAGAGGGGUGCUCGAAAGAGAGCCGUAACACAGGUGCUGCAUGGCUGUCGUCAGCUCGUGUCGUGAGAUGUUGGGUUAAGUCCCGCAACGAGCGCAACCCUUAUCUUUAAUUGCCAGCAUUCAGUUGGGCACUUUAAAGAGACUGCCGGUGUUAAACCGGAGGAAGGUGGGGAUGACGUCAAGUCCUCAUGGCCCUUAUGUUCUGGGCUACACACGUGCUACAAUGGCCGGUACAGACGGACGCAAAGCCGCGAGGUGGAGCUAAUCCCAUAAAACCGAUCGUAGUCCGGAUCGCAGUCUGCAACUCGACUGCGUGAAGUCGGAAUCGCUAGUAAUCGUGAAUCAGAAUGUCCACGGUCGAAUACGUUCCGGGCCUU